UUGCCGGUGGUGGUCGGUGGUCUGGCCCGCAAUGCCUCAAGCGAUGCCGGCGCCAAUGCGCUCAGCAAUGCGCUCGGCGCGCAUGCCGGCAGU
rnacentral:tRNA from 1 species